rnacentral:lncRNA from 1 species
GUUGAAUUGUGAAAACAAACCUCACUCGCCUUGUUUAGUUUCAAUUUUUUUUUCUUUCGUUUGUAUUUAAUAAAUAUUAUCCAAUUAUGGACUAAAUAGAUUUAAAAGAUUCGUCUCACAAAUUACAGGUAAACUAUGCAAUUAAUUUUUUUUAUCUAUAUUUAAUGCUCCAUGCAUGUGCCACAAGAUUCGAUGUGAUGGGGAAUCUGAAAAAAUUUUGUAAAAUUUUUUGGAACUAAACAAGACCUAAUUAUUACUAGUAGAGUUGUAGACCGAACGGACUGCAAUCUACUCCUUCCAUCUUUCUUUUUUUAUAAGUCAUUCUAAAAAUCUUAAAAAAUCAAAGUAUUUCAAAUUUAAUCAAAAUUAUAGAAAUAAUUAUAAAAAUUUAUGAUAUUAAAUAGAUAUAAUAUAAAAAUAUAAUUAAUAAUACUUAGUUAUUAUCAUAAAAUAUCAUUA